AGUGAUACUCUGAACCACCAUUUUAUGGUGUGUGCAGUGUAGUAGGACGUGUUCUGGCGUUUCUGUUUCGUUGCAGUGUGUGCAUUUGUCUGUUUGGUGUUUUAGUUUAGAAUUUGAAUUUUGGUAUUUGCUU